AUUGAACGCUGGCGGCAUGCCUAACACAUGCCAGUCGAGCGGAUGAAGGGAGCUUGCUCCUGGAUGCAGCGGCGGACGGGUGAGUGAGGCCUAGGAAGCUGCCUGGUAUUUGGGGAUAACGUCCGUAAACGGGCGCUAAUACCGCAUACGUCGUGAUGGAGAAAGGGGGGGAUCUUCGGACCUCGCGCUAUCAGAUGAGCCUAGGUCGGAUUAGCUAGUUGGUUGGGUAAAGGCCUACCAAGGCGACGAUCCGUAACUGGUCUGAGAGGAUGAUCAGUCACACUGGAACUGAGACACGGUCCAGACUCCUACGGGAGGCAGCAGUGGGGAAUCUUGGACAAUGGGCGAAAGCCUGAUCCAGCCAUGCCGCGUGUGUGAAGAAGGUCUUCGGAUUGUAAAGCACUUUAAGUUGGGAGGAAGGGCAGUAAGUUAAUACCUUGCUGUUUUGACGUUACCAACAGAAUAAGCACCGGCUAACUUCGUG
rnacentral:rRNA from 1 species